GACGAACGUUGGCGGCGUGCUUAAUACAUGCAAGUCAACUGAAGCAGUGGUAGCAAUAUCGCUGUGGAGGUGGCGCACGGGUGAGUAACACGUAGGUAAUCUGCCUUCAGGUCUGGCAUAACUCCGGGAAACCGGGGCUAAUAGCAGAUGAUGCAGCGGCUCGACAUCGAGACAGUUGUUAAAGCUAUGGCGCCUGAAGAUGAGCCUGCGUCUGAUUAGCUAGUUGGCGGGGUAACGGCCCACCAAGGCAACGAUCAGUAGCUGGUCUGAGAGGAUGAUCAGCAACACUGGAACUGAGACACGGUCCAGACUCCUACGGGAGGCAGCAGUAAGGAAUAUUGCUCAAUGGGAGAAAUCCUGAAGCAGCAACGCCGCGUGAGGGACGAAGGGCUUUUGCUUGUAAACCUCUGUAGUGAGAGAAAAAAAUCCCAAUCUUUGGGACAUGAUGGUAGCUCAAAAGUAAGCCCCGGCUAACUACGUG
rnacentral:rRNA from 1 species